rnacentral:RNase_P_RNA from 1 species
CGAGUCAGCUGGACAGUCGCUGUUCCGAUCACUUCCACGUUCGUCACUGACGGGCGUACGAGGUCCGGGGCGGAGGAAAGUCCGGGCUCCACAGAGCAGAACGCCAGGUAACGCCUGGGGGGCGUGAGCCUACGGAAAGUGCAGCAGAGAGCAGACCGCCAACCCCGACGCAAGUCGGGCGGUAAGGGUGAAAGGGUGCGGUAAGAGCGCACCGCGCGACUGGUAACAGUUCGCGGCACGGCAAACCCCGUUCGGAGCAAGACCAAAUAGGAAUCCUUCGGUGUGGCUCGCACUGGAUUCGGGUAGGUUGCUUGAGGCCGUCAGUGAUGACGGUCCCAGAUGAAUGACUGUCCACGACAGAACCCGGCUUACAGGCUGACUCGCCUU